rfam:Cicer arietinum chromosome Ca1, whole genome shotgun sequence.
GGUCCCGUAGCUCAGUUGGUUAGAGUGUUGGUCUUAUGAGCCGAAGGUCGCGAGUUCGAGCCUCGCCGGGACCA